rnacentral:rRNA from 1 species
GACGAACGCUGGCGGCGCGCCUAACACAUGCAAGUCGAACGAGCGAGAGCGGGCUUGCUUUCUCGAGCGAGUGGCGAACGGGUGAGUAACGCGUGAGGAACCUGCCUCAAAGAGGGGGACAACAGUUGGAAACGACUGCUAAUACCGCAUAAGAGCACGGCCCGCAAGGGGGGGGGGGGAAAAGGAGCGAUCCGGUUUGGGAUGGCCUCGCGUCCGAUUGGCUAGGUGGUGGGGUGACGGCCCAACAAGGCGACGGGUGGGGGCCGGACGGGGGGGUUGAACGGCUGGAUCGGGACUGAGACACGGACCAGACUCGUACGGGAGGGAGCAGUGGGUAAUAUUGCACAAUGGGGGAAACCCCGAUGCAGCGGCGCCGCGGAGAGGAAGAAGGUGUUUGGAUUGUAAACUCCUGUUGGUGGGGAAGAGAAUGACGGUACCCAGUAAGGAAGCGACGGCUAACUACGUG